GAUGAACGCUGGCGGCGUGCCUAAUACAUGCGAGUCGAGCGAACGGACGAGAAGCUUGCUUCUCUGAUGUUAGCGGCGGACGGGUGAGUAACACGUGGAUAACCUACCUAUAAGACUGGGAUAACUUCGGGAAACCGGAGCUAAUACCGGAUAAUAUUUUGAACCGCAUGGUUCAAAAGUGAAAGACGGUCUUGCUGUCACUUAUAGAUGGAUCCGCGCUGCAUUAGCUAGUUGGUAAGGUAACGGCUUACCAAGGCAACGAUGCAUAGCCGACCUGAGAGGGUGAUCGGCCACACUGGAACUGAGACACGGUCCAGACUCCUACGGGAGGCAGCAGUAGGGAAUCUUCCGCAAUAGGCGAAAGCCUGACGGAGCAACGCCGCGUGAGUGAUGAAGGUCUUCGGAUCGUAAAACUCUGUUAUUAGGGAAGAACAUAUGUGUAAGUAACUGUGCACAUCUUGACGGUACCUAAUCAGAAAGCCACGGCUAACUACGUG
rnacentral:rRNA from 1 species